CUGGAGGUAUCAGAAGUGCGAAUGCUGACAUAAGUAACGAUAAAGCGGGUGAAAAGCCCGCUCGCCGGAAGACCAAGGGUUCCUGUCCAACGUUAAUCGGGGCAGGGUGAGUCGACCCCUAAGGCGAGGCCGAAAGGCGUAGUCGAUGGGAAACAGGUUAAUAUUCCUGUACUUGGUGUUACUGCGAAGGGGGGACGGAGAAGGCUAUGUUGGCCGGGCGACGGUUGUCCCGGUUUAAGCGUGUAGGCUGGUUUUCCAGGCAAAUCCGGAAAAUCAAGGCUGAGGCGUGAUGACGAGGCACUACGGUGCUGAAGCAACAAAUGCCCUGCUUCCAGGAAAAGCCUCUAAGCAUCAGGUAACAUCAAAUCGUACCCCAAACCGACACAGGUGGUCAGGUAGAGAAUACCAAGGCGCUUGAGAGAACUCGGGUGAAGGAACUAGGCAAAAUGGUGCCGUAACUUCGGGAGAAGGCACGCUGAUAUGUAGGUGAAGCGACUUGCUCGUGGAGCUGAAAUCAGUCGAAGAUACCAGCUGGCUGCAACUGUUUAUUAAAAACACAGCACUGUGCAAACACGAAAGUGGACGUAUACGGUGUGACGCCUGCCCGGUGCCGGAAGGUUAAUUGAUGGGGUCAGCGCAAGCGAAGCUCUUGAUCGAAGCCCCGGUAAACGGCGGCCGUAACUAUAACGGUCCUAAGGUAGCGAAAUUCCUUGUCGGGUAAGUUCCGACCUGCACGAAUGGCGUAAUGAUGGCCAGGCUGUCUCCACCCGAGACUCAGUGAAAUUGAACUCGCUGUGAAGAUGCAGUGUACCCGCGGCAAGACGGAAAGACCCCGUGAACCUUUACUAUAGCUUGACACUGAACAUUGAGCCUUGAUGUGUAGGAUAGGUGGGAGGCUUUGAAGUGUGGACGCCAGUCUGCAUGGAGCCGGCCUUGAAAUACCACCCUUUAAUGUUUGAUGUUCUAACGUGGACCCGUGAUCCGGGUUGCGGACAGUGUCUGGUGGGUAGUUUGACUGGGGCGGUCUCCUCCUAAAGAGUAACGGAGGAGCACGAAGGUUGGCUAAUCCUGGUCGGACAUCAGGAGGUUAGUGCAAUGGCAUAAGCCAGCUUGACUGCGAGCGUGACGGCGCGAGCAGGUGCGAAAGCAGGUCAUAGUGAUCCGGUGGUUCUGAAUGGAAGGGCCAUCGCUCAACGGAUAAAAGGUACUCCGGGGAUAACAGGCUGAUACCGCCCAAGAGUUCAUAUCGACGGCGGUGUUUGGCACCUCGAUGUCGGCUCAUCACAUCCUGGGGCUGAAGUAGGUCCCAAGGGUAUGGCUGUUCGCCAUUUAAAGUGGUACGCGAGCUGGGUUUAGAACGUCGUGAGACAGUUCGGUCCCUAUCUGCCGUGGGCGCUGGAGAACUGAGGGGGGCUGCUCCUAGUACGAGAGGACCGGAGUGGACGCAUCACUGGUGUUCGGGUUGUCAUGCCAAUGGCACUGCCCGGUAGCUAAAUGCGGAAGAGAUAAGUGCUGAAAGCAUCUAAGCACGAAACUUGCCCCGAGAUGAGUUCUCCCUGACUCCUUGAGAGUCCUGAAGGAACGUUGAAGACGACGACGUUGAUAGGCCGGGUGUGUAAGCGCAGCGAUGCGUUGAGCUAACCGGUACUAAUGAACCGUGAGG
rnacentral:rRNA from 1 species